AGCAGUAGCCGCGGGAAUGCGUAGGGUGCGAGCGUUAAUCGGAAUUACUGGGCGUAAAGCGUGCGCAGGCGGUUGUGUAAGACAGGUGUGAAAUCCCCGGGCUUAACCUGGGAAUGGCAGUGGAUACUGGCUCGCUAGAGUGUGUCAGAGGAUGGUGGAAUUCCCGGUGUAGCGGUGAAAUGCGUAGAGAUCGGGAGGAACAUCAGUGGCGAAGGCGGCCAUCUGGGACAACACUGACGCUGAGGCACGAAAGCGUGGGGAGCAAACAGGAUUAGAUACCCCUGUAGUCCCUGUCUCUUAUAC
rnacentral:rRNA from 1 species